rnacentral:tRNA from 1 species
CGGGGCGUAGCGUAGUGGUAGCGCACUCGCUUGGGGUGCGAGAGGUCGUGGGUUCAAGUCCCACCGCCCCGA